AUGGCCAGCCUCAGGGAGGGGAUGUGUUCAUUUCUUCUUUUCUGCAGCCAUCCACAGGUGGACAGGGUCAGAUUGUCUCCCUGUGAGCUGAACAGAGACACUUUAGUUUAACUUUCAGGCAGAGGGCCAGGGUUCCCAGAGGCAGGCCAUUCUGUAUGUUUAUAAUAACAAAAGCAAAGGUUAAAGUCAAAGAAACAGAUCGAAUAUGGAGUCUGAUUUAGCUGUCCUUGUUACAAUUAUUCCCGGAUUGAGGCAGGAGACAGAUGGGCCCCAGGCUGAGCCCCUGGAGUUUGCCCCCUGUGGACAAAUACUCCAAGACAAAGUUAAUAGCAGGAGGAUAAUAGGAGAGGCUGAGCCUGCCCAGAUAAGAGAUAAAGAGACCACCUAUUCCUCAUUCUCGAGGUCAAGGAGACCUUCCCAACUGCUCAUGCACAGAGAGGCUCCUUGGAGGUCAAAAGGGGAGUGAUGUCAAUCUACCCACCGGCCUCUUUGCUGGAAUCCAUCUUGGCGAAGAGAUGCGCGCCCACCGGGGAAGAUCCUGAGAUAAACCAAAUAUGGACUCAGAACCAGGCAAAGCAAGAUGAUUGGCCAGAGGAAACCUGGAAGCAAUGCCCCAUAUGAAGAACUAGAGGCUUGGAGAGGUUAAAUUCUGUCCCCUCCACAGCCCACAAGUGGUGCAGCCUUUACAACUCCAGAUGCCGAACCCUUAGUCACAGAAUUGCCCAGCUGCAUGACAUGCUUGAUUCCCAAGAUAGAUUCUGGAAGUAAAAACUGACUCAACAGCCUCCAGAGAACCAAUUGUUACAACCUGCAGUCUUCAGCCACCUAGAAUCCCCUCAAACAGCUCUUGAGUUCCAGCAGCUGUCACCCGCUCUUCUCAGCUGUCCUGCUUCCUGUCCAGGUGGUACCGUAAUGCUUGCACACCUUUGGUCAUCCCAGAUCCUUGACACGUCCCGGGACCUGGCCUCCCUCCUGAUGGCUGUCACCACUUAGUGUUGACAUCUUGGUGGAGCUCCACGUCUGGGUGAAGGAUGCACGCCUGAGCUGACUCCCCAGGCCCCCCACCACGCACCUCUGCCUGCUGUCACUCCACCGAGCUCCCCACCAUCACAUCUGUCAACACAGCUAUGUCAUCCCCAGAAUCCACCUCAUUUCCAGCACUUGCCGGAAACGGGACUCAUCUUUUGACUGUUGAGCAGUGUUCCUUUAAGUUCUAACAAAUAGUUCCCAUCAUUCUGCAGAUUUUCUAUGCAAUUGAAUUCUAACUUUGUUGAAUUCUAAAGAUGACAUUCCUGGCAUCUGAACAAGGCCUGCACCUCUGUUCUCGUGAGUCUUGGGUUCCCACAAGAAAGGAUGAGAUUUGGAGUGCGUAGACAAUGCAAACUUGUGCUCUGUCUUUACUGUUUAAUGGCUGUGUCACAGUGUCACUUAGCUUCCCGGUGCCCCAGUUUCCUUAUCUGUAAAAGACAGGUACUAGCGCUUACUGCUCUGGAUUUUCCUGAGCAUCAGAGGUGCAAACUGCACGAAGACACCCUGUAUACGGUUAUAAUAUUAUCAACAAUAGUAGCAAAGAAUCACAGUGACCAUCUGCUGCCUUCUUUUUCUCCUGUUCUUAGAGCAAACUAGCCUGUGCACAGGGCUGGGUCCAUUUCCUUCCCCAGGAGUGAGGAGUGUGGACUGAAGGUCUGCAUGUAUGGUUCCUCCUCCCCCUCCCCCUCCCCCAAAGCUUUACCUGGACCAGAACCCCUCCAGUGCUCAUGGCCUCUGCAGUUUCCAGAGCAGCAGGUAUGGACACAUCUGCCUUACAGGGCCUGAGGAGAUGGCAAGAAGGGCGAGCCCCUCAGGCCCUGCUCAAAAGUUGCCGACUGUGGUGAGACUGGGGGUGUCCACUCAUAGGCUCAAAUCCCAUCCACUGCAGCUCCCUCUGCCUCUGUCCCUACCCCCAAAUCCACAAGCAGUGGGUGAUACAUAAACAUAGGGAGACAAGAAAAGAAGGAGCCCGCACAUGAUCAUGAUACCCCCAGAGUGGGAUGCUGAAUAACAAAUGUCCCAUUGGGUGACUGUGACAGUUUACGUGUCAACUUGCCUGGGUCACGGGGCACCCAGAUAUUUGGUUACACUUUGCUCUGGGUGUGUCUGUUUGGGUGUUUCUGGAUGCAAUUAACAUUUGAAUUGAGUAAAGCUGACGGCCCUCCCCAGUGUGAGUAGGCCUUAUCCAAUCCACUGAAAGUCUGACUAGAAUGGAAGACCGAGUAAGAAUCCCUUCUCUCUGCCUCAGUGUCUUUAAAGCUGGGACAUCCCAGGACAUCCGUCUUCUCCUGCUUUUGGACUCGGAUUCAGACUGGAACUUACACCAUCAGCUCUCCUGCUUCCCAGGUCUUUGGACUUGGCAUGAAAUUACACUCUACCCUACUCUGCUGGUUCUGGACUUCUCCAUAAUCACGUGAGUCAGUUUCUUUUCUUUUUUUAGUUUUUGGCCACACCAUGUGGCAUGCAGGAUCUUAGUUCCCUGACCAGGGAUCGAA